rnacentral:rRNA from 1 species
GAUGAACGCUGGCGGCGUGCCUAAUACAUGCAAGUCGAACGCUGGAGAUCUAGCUUGCUAGAUCGAAGGAGUGGCGAACGGGUGAGUAAUACAUAAGCAACCUACCCACGAAGACUGGGAUAAUCUCUGGAAACGGGGACUAAUACCGGAUAGGUAAUCGGAAGGCAUCUUCUGGUUAUUAAAGGUUAAAAACACUGGUGGAUGGGCUUAUGGCGCAUUAGUUAGUUGGUGAGGUAACGGCCCACCAAGACGAUGAUGCGUAGCCGGCCUGAGAGGGUGAACGGCCACAUUGGGGCUGAGACACGGCCCAGACUCCUACGGGAGGCAGCAGUAGGGAAUUUUCGGCAAUGGGGGCAACCCUGACCGAGCAACGCCGCGUGAGUGAAGACGGCCUUCGGGUUGUAAAGCUCUGUUGUAAGGGAAGAACGGUAGAUAGAGAAUAUCUAAGUGACGGUACCUUACCAGAAAGCCACGGCUAACUACGUG